rnacentral:hammerhead_ribozyme from 1 species
ACCUUGCUGAAGAGUUCAAAGUAGCACGAAACUCGGGUCCAGGGU